GAGCCCCUCAGCCGCCGCCGCCGCCCCUGCUGGGCACCAAUACCCGCUCCAGCGAGUACCAUUGCGAAGAGAUCGAAGGUCCUCAGAGAGAGUGAGAGAGAGAGAGAGAGGUUUUGGGGUGAGAGGAAACGGUUUGGCGAGAGAGAGAGAGAGAGAGAGAGAGAGAGAGAGAGAGAGAGAGAAGGGUUUUGGAGUGAGAGGAAAG
rnacentral:lncRNA from 1 species